rnacentral:rRNA from 1 species
UCGGAUCGCAGGCUGCAACCCGCCUGCGUGAAGUUGGAAUUGCUAGUAAUCGCGGAUCAGCAUGCCGCGGUGAAUACGUUCCCGGGCCUUGUACACACCGCCCGUCACACCAUGGGAGCCGGUAAUACCCGAAGUCAGUAGUCUAACCGCAAGGGGGGCGCUGCCGAAGGUAGGAUUGGCGACUGGGGUGAAGUCGUAACAAGGUAUC